rnacentral:tRNA from 1 species
GUGGUUGUGGCUCGGUGGUAGAGCACUUACCUCACAUGCCUGAGGCACUGGGUUUGAGUCUCAGCAACACA